GGUUUGAAAGUUUUUAGCCAUUUAUUGCUUUAAAUACCCUUUCUGUUUUUCUUUCUCCUGGAAUUCUCAUAAUAUAGAUAUUGUUUCUUUUUAUUGUGUCCCAUGUGUUCCAUCAUCUUCCUUUACUCUUUUUAUUAUUUUUCUCCUCUGACUGGAUAAUUCCAAUAGUCUUAUCUUAUUGGUCACUGAUUCCUUCUUCUGUUUGGUUGAAUCUACAUUUGCAGCCCUCAGCUGACUUCUUCAUUUUACUCAUAUUUUUAUAUUUCUUAGCUCUAUGGUUGUUUUCAGUUUUGAUGGUUAUUAUUUCUUUGAAUUUUUAUAUCUGUUCCUAUAUUGUUUUUCUAACUUCACUGAGUUGUCUUUGUGUUCUUGUGGUUCACUAAAAUUCCUAAAACAAAUUUUCUGAAUUCUUUGACAGUUGAUAGAUUUCUAUGUCUUUUUUUUUUUUUUCAGCUGCAUCCACAGCAUGUGGAAGUUUGUAGGCAAAUGGCUGAACUUGCACCUGAGCAGCAACCCAAGCCCCUGCACUGACAAUGCUGGAUCUUUAACCUGCUGUGCCACAAGAGAACUCUAUAUCUCUAUUUCUUUAGGGUUUGUUUUGUCAGAGACAGCUCUUCACCAGUCACCUUACUUUGGAUUCAUGAACAUGUCUGCUGGUAACAUCCGCGGGCUAGUGGGGUUUGCCACCAAGGUCUGUUUUUUUGGUAAGGCCACUGCCUAAGCUCUGAGGUUGGGGUCGUGUGUUGCUGGCUGAGAACUGCUGGAUCAUUGGACUGUAGGCUUGGCUCCCUGCCCACAUGAAGCUGUAGGAUGGGCUUCAUGGUUGCCUGAGUUCUCUGGUCAGGCUUCCUAAGUGGUGCAGACUGGGUACUAUACUAAGAAGUAGGUGGAGCUAUAAAUAUUAAAGAAUAGCAACUCUGGGAAUCAGAUUCCUCCCCCUCCUUAGGGUUUGUUUUCACUAUUUGUUCCAAUUGUUUUAGUAAGAUUUUUAGGUCAUUUUGUAAAAUUUGUAUUCUUUGUUAGAUGUGACUGGUCUCAUUUCUCUUCUCUAGUGGUUAGCUAGGGAUUUAACACAGUUCCUUAAAUACCUGGAAUGUGCCCCUCACCCCCAAAAUGUGUCCUAGUUUUUGCAGAUGGGCUCUUUGUGUUAGAGGAAACUUUCAAGUUCCAGCCAGACAAUAUACAACUCUAUCAUAACCUUCACUUCUUGCUUAUGGAGAACCUGAAUGUAAGACAAAGGCGAGAAUUUAAAGCCUCAGUUUUUUAAGAGCAUGCGCCCAGCUUUGGAUAUGUGCUUGGCCUUCUAUCUCAAGACCAUGUGGGAGCUUUUCAAAUACCUUGUAUUCUUCAUUCCCUAGCCUUUCCACCCAAGCUUGUCUGUCUUUUGUUUAUUCCAGCUCUUUUUCCUUGUCCAGUUGGGAGUAACAAAUGCUUUUACCUUUAAGUAUUAUUUUUGAUUGCCUCUCCUCCCCCAACCAUAGCUGCCUCCAACUUGGGAGAGUUCCUAGUAAGGUGAACUAAAGUAAACCCUUUGAACUAGUACUUCAGGGAGCCAAAAUAGAGGCUAAACAGCCAACCUCAAUUCUUUGAGAAUAAGGUUCAUUUUUCUCUCUGGUACUAGAAAUCUAUACCUGGAAUGUGAGCUGUUGUCUUCCAUGAUGCCAACAAGAAGGGAAGCAGUGAAUAAGGGCAGGGUGAGUUACAGGUUUUAUUCUUGAUUGGUUGCUAUAAACUGUAGUUUCCAGAGUUCUAAUGAAGUUGAUUCUUACACUUUUGGGCAGUUUAUUUGCUGCUUUUAUGGGAGAGAACAUACUUUUGGCAUUCCCUAUUCCAUACUAUUUUCAUUGACAUUAGUCUACGCUUAUUUCAAAAUAUGGCGUAUGACUAUCACAAAGCUAUCAUUUCCACAAAUCUAAAAGGAAUGAGUAUUCAAAACAUGGCAAAGACUGUGGUGAUGAUGGAAAGUGAUAUAAACAAGGGAUCAGAACUAUUAACAUUACAUGGCUCUCUCUUCUGACAAAAUUUUAAUACAUAGUAUAGGUUGGUGGCCAGUGCAGUCUACUUGGGAGUUAGGAACAACUGGACCAGAAAGAACAUUUUGAAUCCUGAGCAGUCUGUUAGUGGAAGAGAUCUUGUAGAUUGCUUUUUUGUGAAUGUGGAAAGAUGUAGGACUAGAAACUGGACACCAAUCGAUGUUCUAUUACAGUGGCUUUCCAAUUAGGUUAAUCCAAUACUAAUGUUUGCAGAGGGGGCUUGGACUAACCUGAAGUAAAGGGGAUUGACGAGGAAGGUCACAGGUGGUGAGGUUCUAAGCUUCCCACUUCUACAGUCAACUGCAGUAGUCUCAUCUGCUUGAUGUAUUAGGUUCUAUGAAAAAACUGAAACUUAGUUUCCAUUGCUAAAAACUUAAAGAAGUCAAAACACAGCCUGAUAUACAGGACUGCAUGAUAAAGAUGACUGAUUAUAACUUCCAUGGGACUUUGGGCAAAAAGAAUCUCUGUGAGAUGAGGUGGAAUUAAGGUUACACUAAAUUAGAAGAUUAGAGGGUUAUUCCAGCCUAAUGGCCAGGGACGAGGGCUACAGGCACCUUUGUUUUCUAAUCCCAUUAGGGUCUAACACAAGGUAUCAAUCAUCAGAGCCAUGGAGGGAAAUAAGGUUAGAUAAGACUGUGGGACUAUAUUAUAGUGGGUUUUGACCUUUUAAAAAGGUAGUAAAGUAAAGUUACCGAGAACAAAAUGUUAUCAUACAAAGUUUAAGGAAAUGACAUGUGAUAAGAAUUACAGCAGAAAGACAAGCAUUUAAGGACAUCAGCCAGAAAGGUACUGAUGUUUUUGGUUAAUUUAUAAUAUUAGAAAACCCCUAACUUUUAGGUACUGAAUGUAUUUGUGGAAGAGAGUCAAAUGGAUUAAAUAUAACUCUGGCCCCCAAGAGGUUCAGGUACCUAGAAAAGGCAUAGAAUGAGUACGUGAUUUCACGGAGGGCCAAGAGAUGGAAGAGCGUCUCGAACUUGUAGCUUGAACUUUUUUGGAAUACUUCAAAGAAUUUGAAAAGGGAAAAGGGGCAAGUCCAUAUGGACACAGCCCAGUAUGAAAUUUUAAAAUUUGAUCUUUUAUGAUAAACAGAAUAAUAUAUCUUUAAGAAGGGGGAGCUUUCUGGGGUGCUGGAAGUUUCUUAAUCUAGGUGUGCUUCGCAGAUGUAUUAAGCUGUAAGUUAGGUAAUUUUUACAAUUUGCUAUAUAUUUUUAAAUUUUGGACAUUUUGGAGAACUCUGAAAACUUACACAAUUUAUAAGCAUACUUAGAUUUAUAAUUUGUACUUAAAAUUCUUCCUUGGAUAGAAGUAAAUAGUUUGAAUUUUUUAUUCUAUAAAGAUCAAUUCAUAUUUGCAUUCACUUGGUCAAUGACACAUCCCAUCAGAUUUUAGUGUUUGAGGUAACUGCAUUUAGGAAGAUGCCCCGUGGUCACAAAUGUUUGCAUCCUGUGCUUUGCUGUCUCAUUGUCUCAAAUGUCAAAUGCAAGCUAUUCCACUAAGGACGAAAAACCAAGUUCCUUUGUAUUUGCAGACAACACUAUCCCAAUAAUUGACAAACUACAUGAGAGCAGAGGGCUCAAGCUAUCCCUUUGGAGCAAGUGUGCCCCAUCUGUGUCAUGCCAGCAUCAUUCAUUCCCAAGUAGUACAGAUAGUUCUUUCUUAUGCUGAGAACACCCGGACAUUUUUGAUUUCCUUACAGAGUCACAUUCCCUAAAUUCCUAAGAAAAAAAGAAAUGUAAUAAUUUUAUCACGUUAAACAGAUCAGAGCUCAUAAGAGCUUCUGCAGCAUGUUUAUCAUCUAACCAUAAUAUACGGCAAAAGAAAUCUUGUGGGUUUAAAAAUAGCUUUAUUUAGCAUACCCAAAACACAGAAAUAUAAGAAAAAAACCUUACCUAGAAUGAACAUAAAAAUAGUUAAAUACCAUAAUUUAAUGUAAACCAAGUGUUUAAAAAUGUGAAAUAUUAUAAUAAAAUACAUGCUAUUUACACAGAACCAAGUUAAAGCUACCUCCCCAGUUAUCAGAUCAGCGCAUCAAUCUUGAAGUCAUCAUUAACAAUGAAUCAAACACAGCAUCCUUAUUUGUCCUGGUCAAGAGGAAGAAAAGAAAUCAUGUAAUUGACUUUAAACAGAGAUACAAUUCACUGUGACACUCAAAGCAGGGAGGCAGAAAAGUGCCAGUUCUAGGAUUCCAGACCUGAGCACUGCGGAGGCCUGGCAACCGUCCCACUGGAGGACCAGGCAGCGCCUCCUUUCCUUUGACUGCACGGGUUGAUUCAGUUGAGUUACUGCGUAAGAAAGGUACUACCUAGAUCUGUAAAAAUAAACCUUUAUUAAAAAUGAUCAAAGGUGAAUGUAAUAUCAAUCAGGUAAGAAAGGCAAAAGCAUAAAAAAUAUAUAUUAUUCCAGAUAAGCCCCUCGAAUUGUAACAAAUGUUAAGAAACUCAGUUUAUAAAACCAGACAGGGUAGCAAAAGGGUUUCUAAAAAGGUAAAACCCAAACCAAAAAUCAAAUGAAACGAACUAACCUAAGAGCAUGUUUCUUGAAGAAGGUACUUGUUUUCUUUUAAAAAGUGUGCUUAUCCUGUCAUUAUCCCAUGUGUCCUGCCGCCAGGCCCGCGGCUGAUGACCGCUGUUGACACUGCGGAGUAGCGUCUACUCCGACCAGGAGCCUAACAAGCUGUAGUCAGUGGUCAGUUUAAACAAACAUUUGGCUUUUGCUUCAAGGAGCAGCAUUCCUUCUGACACUGACAUUCAGCCGUCUCUAUGAGACAGCAUUAAAUCCAUUAUCGGGAAUUUAAAAUGGCCAGAAUACGUAACUGAGGAAUAGAAAAUCCUGCUCUUUCGCCUGUGCCUGUGCCUGUUAAUUCUCAAACUUCUGGUCUCCAGACCCCUUUCUACUCUGAACAUUUGGUGGGGAUCCGGACCCCAAAGGGUUUUUGUUUAUGGAGUUUAUAUCUAAUGGCAUUUGCCACAUUAGACAGUAAAACUGAAAAAUUUGAAAGAAUUUAUUCAUUUAAGAAGAUAAAAGUCCAGUACAUGCUAACAUAACAUUUUAAAGAAAAUAGCUAUACGUUCUAAAAGAGGACAAAAAUUCAUGGGAAGAUGGCUUUUACAUGUUUAAUUACUUUCUGGGAGAGAGUGAAAAGACCAAUAAUGUCUUCAUAUUAUUAUGAAAAUAGUUUUGAUCCUCAAAGGUUCUCAAGGACUCCCCGAGGUUUAUGGGCCAUACUUUGAAAAUAAUCUAAGGCCUGAUAUUAUUGCCAAAAAAAGUCUACAAAAAAGGAGCCUUAAUUCUUUCCUUUAAAAAUCAACUCAAAUACAUACAUGCAUGCACACAAAUCACCGGAUCGGACACUCCCACUUUCAGCUUUAAAUAGAAGCUAGAGGUCACCAUGUACUCAUGGCCGACUUCAAAACAAUAUUGUCAUUUGUGCUCAGACUAGGUUCAAGAUGUAUUCAUUUUUAGUCCAUGAAAGAUAUAAAACCUACUAACUGUACAUCUUAGUUCCCUUUCUGGCAUUUUGCUGAAUCCUGUUUAGCAUGUGCCGAGUUGGCAGGCGUCGUUCAGUGGGCACAGCUUUGGUGCAGCGCAGAGAGUGGCAGGAGUUGAAGGGCCCACGGUCGGAGAUUAGGAACAGGUUCGCCAUCUGCUGUCUUUCUCACUGUGGGAAAACUCAGAUGAACCUCAGGGCAACAGAGAAAAUUGUCCCUCAAGAAGAACAAUGCUGUGACCUCACACCCCGAUAGCUCUUCCCAUCUUAAGAUGGCAAGGACAUGCACGCCCACCCUCUCUCUCCUUAGGUCCUUUUAAAGCCCCAGGAGAGGCAGGACAGAUGCUGCUGUGUUGUCUCAAGCGGGGGCGUGUGGGGAGGAUGGAGGGGUCAGAGGUGGGUCUUUCCCAAGAUCGCCUGGCACGUACGUGGCAGAGUGGGAUUAGAAUCACAGAUGAUGCCGUGCCGUCUCGGGGGGUGCGGAUUGGAGGGCCAGAGGUGGGUUUUUCCCAAGGUCUCCUGGCCCGUGCGUGGCAGAGCGGGAUUAGAAUUCAGGUCAUCUGACUGCUUGUUCAGGGACCUCCCCAGCAGGCCUCCUUCCUGGGGUUUGGGGCAGGGCUGGGGCAGGGUGGAUGGAGAUGGAGGCAGCAGGGUGUGACGGUUCAAAAACACCUGCAUUCCUUCUGCCUGAUUCAUCAUUUUAAGGAGUCUUGGGAGUGGCACAGACAUUUCCCUGAAUGAUAUAAUGAAUUUCCCAUCAGUGCAUAUAUAACUUCUUUUUUUCCUUUCUGAGCCAGUUGAUGUUGGCAGUCCCUUCACAGGCUGUUCCCUUGCUCCAAGGGAAAAGUAAAAAUCCUGCAGUUCAAAAAACAUCUGAUGAAAAUACAAAAUGAAACGGCGACAGUGAGAUCUAUGUGUGGCUAUAACUAGAUUUUGUGUGCGCCUGGCACAGCACAGACUGCAGUCUUCCUCCACCAACUGGAGAACAAUCUCAAAAUCACAGUUCUGAAUUCAAUGGAAACUCGCCUUCUAAUCGUCUUGAGACAAAGACUUCACUCUACACAAAAACAGUAAGAAAGGGAUUUUCACAAUUUUUACUAAAUUCUUAGGUGCUUGAAGAUUCUGUGGUAGGAGAGGGAGUAAAAGGCAAUUAAAUGAGGGAAAAAAAUUACUGUCACCAAUAAGGAAAAGGGAAACGCGUAUCUCUUGCUGUUGUUAAUUCAUAUAGCUACUUUAGACGUUAUUCUUUCGUCUGGAGAUCCACUCCAAGAUGUUAAUACAAAUAGCAUGUGCCAUUCAGAGCUAUUAAACACAUACUGUCUAAUUUCUGCCGGGAAGCCAGUCAGCAGCAGCAGCAGCAACAACAAAAUCCCUCCUACAAAACCAGCCCAAUGGCCCUAAG